AAACAAAGCUGUAAAGUGACAAGUAAGAUACACUGUUAAACAUCAACACAGGAUAGACUCUCAAACAGUCACCACUUUUAAACAAAUCGAAAGAGAGGGAUGGUAUACGGCUGAUUUAACGGAAUGACAUUCACAACCACAUUAAAGGAACCCUGCUCAGGUUCUCUGAUGAGUCAAAACACCUCUGGCUAUUAUUUCAACAGAGUUUUGAACAGCGUACAGUUUCAACAGCCCUGCAUUCCACCAGUUCCUUGUGUAAAUAUCUGGUGUCGAUGUCUCUCAUUGAGAAGGGAGGAGUGGCCUGGCAAGAGGAGAGAGUGCACCACAGCGAGUCCCAGAAGCAGCACGUGGGAGCCACAGAGGACGGACUCAAGCCAUGCAGUUGCCUCCCUGCUAAAUGCACCUGCUGCUGGGCUAACAGGACUGAAUAAUUGGCAGAUCAGUUAAGGGCCUGUGUAUUUCCCCUACCCUGUGGUUCAGGCACCACAUGGGUGAAUAUUCUCCACCUCCUGGAUCCCCUGCUGCUCUGGACCGGGAUCGAAAUCAAGCCAUUCAUGAUACACAGAGUAAGAUAUUCAUUGGUGGGGGGAAAAACACUCAUGAACAAGUUAUUAGAAAUGUACUCUUCUUAUUCAAGUUGGUUUCAUUUGGUUUUAAAAAACUUAAACAUUUUCAUGUUUUACCUUUAAUGGGUAGUUCAACUAAAAAUUUAAAUUCUGUAAUUUACCCACCCUCAAGUUGUUCCAAACCUCUAUGAAUUUCAAAACACAAAAAAAGAUAUUUUGAAGAAUGUGGGUAACCAAACAGCUGCUGGACCACAUUGACUUCCAUAGAUUUGUUGUUGUUUCCUCCAUUCCUUGGAGGUCACUGAGGACCAUAAACUGUUUGGUUACACAAAUUUUCAGUCCAAUGAUCCAGUAAGGAAUGCAUUCAAACAAUCAGUCCACAAUAGAGCUAAUGUCAAGAAAACAGGCUGAUUACAUCUAAGAUGGCAGAGAGAAUAUAGACUCACAUUGCGUUUUCAGAGAAUUAUUCAUCGAGCUCUGUGAUUAUUUCUGAAGAGCAGGAGCCCUUACGCAUCGCGCUGUGUGAAAUACAGACUGAACGGACUGUCAAAACAUCCCAUCGCUGUAUGAUAGGCAAACUACGUUUUCUCAGCUGGAUAAAGUAAACCAGCUUCUCUCUUGAAAUGUUUUGAUGGUUGAGAAUUGCAGUCAAGGUAAAGACGAUUGCAGUGACGUACAGGAGUUGUACAGUAAGCAUGCGUGACUCUGAUAUAUUGAUGCACAAACAAACCGUGUAUGAGCACUCUUUGAUGCACAGAUCAUACAUUGUAUUUAUGAAAAGACACAUAUCAGUACAUUCACGAUGUUUCCACACAAAUUCAGGGUAAUAUUUUCAUAUGUAUGUUGCUGUGUUUAGUCAUUCUGAAUGGAUCCAUGUGGCC
ensembl:lncRNA